AAAUAUAUGUACAAGUGUUUGGAAACAAACUGUAACAGUUCUUUUCGUGAUAAUGUAGGAUUAAAAGUUUAUUUAACUGAUGAGCAUAGAAAACAGAUUGAAUGUGAAGAGAAGGAAUUUUCAAAUAAAGAAGGGAAAGUCCAAACCAAAAGCUUAAAUAAAAGACUUCAAAAAAGUCAGGGAUCAUGCAAAUUAAACAAGUACUGCAUUAGUAUGAUCAAGGAUAUUGAAGUAGAAAAUUUAUUAGUGACCUGGAUUAAAUCUCACUAUGGUCACACGAUUGACUUACAGCAUAUAAGGCUUGCCCAGAUGGACAAGUCCAUAGUAGCAUCUAAACUUACAUUAGGAGUCUCGCCGUCAAGUUUUUCAGUUUACCAUUUUUGUAAAGUAAAAUGAUUAGAUAAAAGCUUGGAUGUGCUCCUAGAAUAUGUUAGGGAUAAGGCCGUUCAUAGAAUUAUAAAAAAUAUUAAAGGUAAGUACACUAUUCACACAAAAAAUAUUUUGACAAGACAUAGAGCUGCUCUAAUCGAUAAAGAGGAUAAUAAUAAAUAUUUAAUUAGUACUCCAUCUCUCAAUAAGGAAAUUAAAGAAAUUUAUUGUAUAAAAAGACUUCAAAGUCAAAGCUGUUGUGCUUAAAUGUGUAACGGUUGUAAUAUGUGUUACCACACAUAUUCUUGCUCUUGCAGUGAUUUUUCAAUUCGAAAUUUUAUAUGCAAACAUUCAUUUUGUCGCUAUGUUUUACAAUAAAGAAACUAAAUUGACAGAAUCACAGCAAAUGUUAUGUGAAGAAAAUAAAAGGGGGACAGUAACUUAUUAGAAAGGAAUGUUGGUAACUUUAAAGAUUUAAAUGGGGAUUUUUCUGCUCGAGUAUUAUCUACAAUGAAUUAGUUGCAAAAUACUGAUCCAGAUACUUUGAAUGACGAGGUAAUUCUGCAAAUUCAACAUCAUUUAGACAUAAUUGACAAAUUAGUUGAUUUACUUAACAGUUCCACUGAUUCAUUCGCAGCAGUUCACUCUAAUGAGCCUGUAAAUAAGAAGAUUCAAAAGCAGAAUAGACUUUUUUCAACUCAGAAAAAAAGGAAAACUAAUAAAAAUCAAUCUAAAAAGCCAUCCGUUUUAGAAACUGUAGCAAUAAUUGCACAUUUAAAAAGUAAUUUUAAUCAACCAUAUGUUUCCUAUAAUUCGUCUUUAGAAAUUGUAAAAAAUUCUUAUUCCGUUUUUUUUUGUUUUUGUACAAAGUUGUUUUAAUACUAUCAUUAUUGUAGUUUGUAGGUGAGUUUUAGGUACUAGAUAACUUUAUGUGUUGUAAUGAAAUACCUAAUAAAUGUUUGUAAUGAGUAUAAUAUCAUGGUAUUGGAUUUUUAUUCCUAUAAUAUAUAAUCUAAAACAAUACCUAUACAACAAUACCACAGACUUAUUUCAUAUUUCUGUGACAAUACAACAUGCAUGUUCGUUAACACAAAUUAAGUCUCCUUUUUUUUAAAAAAGAGCGCGGUCUAUCUAUCCAGUUAAAACGACGCGUAAGCACGACCAAUCAAAACACGGAACGUGACUUGGGAAUUAGCCGUUCGUGCAUUCACUAACCGUUUGCUACUAUAUACGUAGGCAGUAAGAAGUCAUUUUAUUCUAAUGUUCUGUUCAACGUAGCUCCAUUUCGAAUUGGUGUAAAACGCGCGAAAAUGGUAGAAUGUUUAAUGUGGGUAUCUACCAGUUGACGUAAUCUCAUUCAACCACUUAAUGUGGUUCACAUUAGUGAAACUCUCUAGUGGCAAACCUGGUAUAUUAUGAAAGUCGCAAGGUCAAGGUUUGAACCGUUUCCAAAACUCUGAUAAGGGAGCUUUGUCCGACGUAAGUAAAUCACAAACUCAUUUAACCAUGUUGUUAUUAAGGGUUAUCCUCUUUAUUAUUUUUGCAAAUCUGGUUGGGACGGUGGACGGUCCCGACAAAUCGGCCAAUCUUUUCCAGGGACGAGUGAAUUGCCCUCCGGGACAGAGAUUUGUGCGGUCUAAGAGCGGCGGUGCGUGCAGAACGCCAGUAAAAAUAAAAUUCCACUAAGUUCAACGUAAGUUUACGGCCUACCUUUGGUGACAAUCAUGUAGCUACUUCGAGUGGUUUGCAGUAUUUUUGCAGGCUGGCUAUAUAUUACAUUAUAUUGGACAGCCCCGUUUUAAAAUGCCCUUAUAAUUUGCUAGAGAUAUAUUUAUAUAAUAUAUUAAACUUAAACUGCUUGUAAAUAAUUUGUGUUUACCAUAACAAUGGAUUUAUAUAAAAAUUUUAAUAAAG